AGAACGAACGCUGGCGGCAUGCCUAACACAUGCAAGUCGAACGAGACCUUCGGGUCUGGUGGCGCACGGGUGCGUAACGCGUGGGAAUCUGCCCUUGGGUUCGGGAUAACAGUUGGAGACGACUGCUAAUACCGGAUGAUGUCUUCGGACCAAAGAUUUAUCGCCCAAGGAUGAGCCCGCGUAGGAUUAGCUAGUUGGUGAGGUAAGAGCUCACCAAGGCGACGAUCCUUAGCUGGUCUGAGAGGAUGAUCAGCCACACUGGGACUGAGACACGGCCCAGACUCCUACGGGAGGCAGCAGUGGGGAAUAUUGGACAAUGGGCGAAAGCCUGAUCCAGCAAUGCCGCGUGAGUGAUGAAGGCCUUAGGGUUGUAAAGCUCUUUACCCGGGAUGAUAAUGACAGUACCGGAGAAUAAGCCCGGCAACUCCGCGCCAGCAGCCGC
rnacentral:rRNA from 1 species